CAAAAUGUAGUUUAACAAAACAUUUCAUCUACACUGAAAAAAUUCACACUUAUUAUGACAUUUUGA
rnacentral:tRNA from 1 species